GAGUUUGAUCCUGGCUCAGAAUCAACGCUGGCGGCGUGCCUAACACAUGCAAGUCGAACGCGAAAGUGGAGCAAUCCAUGAGUAGAGUGGCAAACGGGUGAGUAACACGUGACUAACCUGCCUUCGAGUGGGGGAUAACCUCGGGAAACCGGGGCUAAUACCGCAUAAUGCCUUCGGGUUAAAGGAGCAAUUCGCUUGAAGAGGGGGUCGCGGCUGAUUAGCUAGUUGGCGGGGUAACGGCCCACCAAGGCGAUGAUCGGUAGCCGGCCUGAGAGGGCGCACGGCCACACUGGAACUGAAACACGGUCCAGACUCCUACGGGAGGCAGCAGUGGGGAAUUUUGCGCAAUGGGGGAAACCCUGACGCAGCAACGCCGCGUGGAGGAUGAAGUCCCUUGGGACGUAAACUCCUUUCGACCGGGACGAUUAUGACGGUACCGGUGGAAGAAGCCCCGGCUAACUACGUGCCAGCAGCCGCGGUAAUACGUAGGGGGCAAGCGUUGUCCGGAUUUAUUGGGCGUAAAGAGCGUGUAGGCGGCCAGACAGGUCCGUUGUGAAAACUCGAGGCUCAACCUCGAGACGCCGAUGGAAACCGUUUGGCUAGAGUCCGGAAGAGGAGAGUGGAAUUCCUGGUGUAGCGGUGAAAUGCGCAGAUAUCAGGAAGAACACCCGUGGCUAAGGCGGCUCUCUAGUACGGUACUGACGCUGAGACGCGAAAGCGUGGGGAGCGAACAGGAUUAGAUACCCUGGUAGUCCACGCCGUAAACGAUGGGCACUAGGUGCUUGGGGGAGCGACCCUCCGAGUGCCGGCGCUAACGCAUUAAGUGCCCCGCCUGGGGAGUACGGCCGCAAGGCUGAAACUCAAAGGAAUUGACGGGGGCCCGCACAAGCAGCGGAGCGUGGGGUUUAAUUCGAUGCAACGCGAAGAACCUUACCAAGGCUUGACAUGACCAGGGAUCCGGCGGAAACGUCGGCGCCCCGCAAGGGGCCUGGCCACAGGUGUUGCAUGGCUGUCGUCAGCUCGUGUCGUGAGAUGUUGGGUUAAGUCCCGCAACGAGCGCAACCCCUACUGUGUGUUGUAUCACUCACACGGGACUGCCGAGAGAAACUCGGAGGAAGGCGGGGAUGACGUCAAGUCAGCAUGGCCCUUACGUCUUGGGCUACACCCACGCUACAAUGGCCGGUACAACGGGCUGCGAAACCGCGAGGUGGAGCCAAUCCCUAAAGCCGGUCUCAGUUCGGAUCGUAGGCUGCAACUCGUCUACGUGAAGCCGGAGUUGCUAGUAACCACCGGUCAGCAUACGGUGGUGAUAUGUUCCCGGGCCUUGUACACAC
rnacentral:rRNA from 1 species